ensembl:scaRNA small Cajal body-specific RNA 2
GUUUUAAUGGGUGAGAAGGCAAUGUGUGUGUGUGUGUGUGUGUGUGUGUGUGUGUGUGUGUGUGUGUGUGUGUGUGUGUGUGUGUGUGUGCGUGCGUGCGUGCGUGCGUGCGUGCGUGCGUGCGUGCGUGCGUGCGUGCGCACACACACACACACUCCUCCCAACCACACACACACAAAUUCCUUCCACACUCAAGCACACA